rnacentral:rRNA from 1 species
UGCCGGCGACCGGCGCAACGGGUGAGUAACACGUAUGUAACCUGCCCUAUGCAGGGGGAUAACCCGGAGAAAUCCGGCCUAAUACCGCGUAACACCUUUUGGGAGCAUUCCCGGGAGGUUAAAGGAGAGAUCCGGCAUAGGAUGGACAUGCGUCGCAUUAGGUAGACGGCGGGGUAACGGCCCACCGUGCCGACGAUGCGUAGGGGUUCUGAGAGGAAGGCCCCCCACACUGGUACUGAGACACGGACCAGACUCCUACGGGAGGCAGCAG